ACUGGGACUGAGACACGGCCCAGACUCCUACGGGAGGCAGCAGUGGGGAAUAUUGCACAAUGGGCGAAAGCCUGAUGCAGCGACGCCGCGUGGGGGAUGACGGCCUUCGGGUUGUAAACCCCUUUCAGUAGGGAAGAAGCGAGAGUGACGGUACCUGCAGAAGAAGCGCCGGCUAACUACGUGCCAGCAGCCGCGGUAAUACGUAGGGCGCAAGCGUUGUCCGGAAUUAUUGGGCGUAAAGAGCUUGUAGGUGGCUUGUCGCGUCUGCCGUGAAAACCCGAGGCUCAACCUCGGGCGUGCGGUGGGUACGGGCAGGCUAGAGUGUGGUAGGGGAGACUGGAACUCCUGGUGUAGCGGUGAAAUGCGCAGAUAUCAGGAAGAACACCGAUGGCGAAGGCAGGUCUCUGGGCCAUUACUGACACUGAGAAGCGAAAGCAUGGGUAGCGAACAGGAUUAGAUACCCUGGUAGUCCAUGCCGUAAACGUUGGGCACUAGGUGUGGGGGACAUUCCACGUUUUCCGCGCCGUAGCUAACGCAUUAAGUGCCCCG
rnacentral:rRNA from 1 species